GGGGGUGUAGCUCAUCUGGUAGAGCGCGUGCUUAGCAUACAUUCGAUGAUAGUCGAGUACAUGUUCCUGCACGAGGUACUGGGUUCGACUCCCAGCUCCUCCA